rnacentral:lncRNA from 1 species
CCAGCCCCGCCCCGGAUGCAGCCUGCUGAGCGAGGGUGGAGGAGGGGAGCUAUGUGGCCAAAACCCUGAGUCACUGAGGAGCACGAGGGAGCCGCCCUUUCCGGCGUGUCUCCCGAGGCUGUCUGCCCUUCCCCAGCCUCUGCAGCCUACAAUCCCAAUCAAGAGCCAGCCCGGUUUCUGCAAGCACACAGGAGCAGAAGAGAAACCAGUGAAGACUUCACCGCUGCAUAUCAGGCCAGCGACGGCUGCUCGGUGACGGCGCUGCUCUGCCACCAAGAAAAACCCCAAACCCACUGAUCCCACAAAGAGGGGAGAAAAAGGAAGGCUUCAUGCUGAAGAAGGAGAAAUACAAACGUGUAUGUGCCGGUUUGGUGCGCGAACCACAGGAAGGCUCCGUCUCUACGGCAGAAGCGGCCACGCCGCAGCCCAUCCAAACGCCGCGACACGAGUGAGUUGUCCUCAUCGAACACAUACAGGCAACUGAAAGCUAAACUUCCCUAUGGCUUUAGGACACAGCCUUGCAUAAGAGCCGUGAAGAACUUGGGGCAGUUGCAAUUUCCAAGCUCUAUUUUUAUAACUGCAAUUAACCUACAAUCUUUGCAACUGAUUCAGAUGCCAAACAUUAUAGUUCUGCUUGAUUGGGCAAAUUAUGGUACAUUCACACUAUAGAUACAGAAAAGGGGUGACGCGUGCAUUUUCCCAGCAAACUCCCUACCCCUCAAGAACGAGCUCUCCCCCUGUCUCGACAAACCUCCCUUAAACAACCUGGAAGAACAGUUGACCCCUAGGUUUCUGGGUUCCCUGGAGCCCCUGACCUGGAGUCUGCUCCCCACUCCCUCCCUCUGCCACCCCUCACCAGGGGUUCCUUCGUGGGACACCCCAGCACGUUGGAACUGCUCUGCCCACCACCUUCCCUUUGGCAGGUGGCCACUACUCGGCCACAUUUCAGGCCCAGGGACACUCACGCAGGCACCAAGAGGUCCCCUGGGGAAGCAGGCCUGGGAGGGGCCUGCGUGAAGCUUUUAGAAUUUAAAAAUCGUUCCUUUUUUUUUUUUUUUUUUUUGAGACAGAGUCUCGCUUUGUCACCCAGGCUGGAAUGCAAUGGUGCGAUUUUGGCUCACUGCAACCUCCACCUCCCAGGUUGUCGCAUGGUCUUUUCUCACAGCAGGCACAUGAUGCUCAAGGGGGUGAACUUGUGCCAGGCCAGGGCUGGGCUCUGCACCAGGGAGAUACUCGCUACAGCUCUGUCCUUGGGAUCCAGGAGGCCCAAGUGACCAGAGCCCUUAUAAUAGAUUCCCCUUUCCUUCUAGUUGGACAGGAAUUUCUGUCACCCAACAAUUCCCUCAAAGCUCAUGUGCGUACUCUGCUGCCAGGUUUACACAGCCACAGCCAUGCCUGCACAUCUUCCUUGCAGUGGCGUUAGAGAAAAACAAACCUGAAAUAUCACUAGGUCAGCCUCCCGAACCUUUUUCUGCUCAUCAGUGAUGUCGCUAGCCAGAGACCUUUGCUUGUAGGCUUCGUGGGUUUCCACUCCAUAACUGCCUGCUCAGUUCAUCUACAGCCACAUUCUUCAAGGAUCCGUUGAAAGACUUGGGUUCCUGGUGUGCAUAGACAAUGAGUACUUUCUUACCUAAAUCAGGAUAAGAAACAGUUCCUCUUGAAGAACAACCCCCAGCUAAUUUUUUGUAUUUUUAGUACAGAUGGGAUUUUGCCAUGUUGGCCAGGCUGGUCUUGAACUCCUGGCCUCAAGUGAUCCACCCGCCUUGGCCUCCCAAAGUGCUUCGCUCUUGUUGCCCAGGCUGGAGCAACGAUCCCAGCUCACUGCAACCUCUGCCUCCCGGGUUCAAGCAAUUCUCCUACCUCAGCCUCCUGAGUAGCUGGGAUUACAGGCAUGCGCCACCACGCCCGGAUAAUUUUUUGUAUUUAAAUACCAAACUUUCUAAUAGGUGGCAGUUUUAAAGCAAUGGGCAUUUUAAAAAUCCAGUUAUUCAUAGCUCAACAUCACAAUACAAUGGGUCAAAUUAUAUCUCCUCAAAAAUACCACCACUAAAUCUUUUAAAAGCCCAACCUAAUUAUUUUCCUCAUUGGAAAGAGUCUCCAGGCUUAUAUACUGACUUCGUCUGGGAGGCAGCCUGGUGAUUUGCUUAAUUAAAUUUACCCUGGUCACCUUUAAGAAGAUGUUAAACUCUUGAUUUAAAUUUUUCAUAAUGACACUUUAAGGAAAAGAUACACGUAUCAGUUUGAAGCAAUGGGUUUCAGGGCAUUGAGCUGGCUACAAAGGUUGAAUUCCAUAAGUUAGAUUCAU